rnacentral:rRNA from 1 species
UGGGGAAUAUUGCACAAUGGGGGAAACCCUGAUGCAGCGACGCCGCGUGAAGGAAGAAGUAUCUCGGUAUGUAAACUUCUAUCAGCAGGGAAGAAUUAGGACGGUACCUGACUAAGAAGCCCCGGCUAACUACGUGCCAGCAGCCGCGGUAAUACGUAGGGGGCAAGCGUUAUCCGGAUUUACUGGGUGUAAAGGGAGCGUAGACGGAUGGACAAGUCUGAUGUGAAAGGCUGGGGCUCAACCCCGGGACUGCAUUGGAAACUGCCCGUCUUGAGUGCCGGAGAGGUAAGCGGAAUUCCUAGUGUAGCGGUGAAAUGCGUAGAUAUUAGGAGGAACACCAGUGGCGAAGGCGGCUUACUGGACGGUAACUGACGUUGAGGCUCGAAAGCGUGGGGAGCAA